GGGAAUUUUCCUGCAAUGGGCUNAAGCCUGUACGGUAGCAAUACCGCGUGUNGGGNGGAAGGCUCUUGCGGUUGUAAACCUCUUUUCUCAGGGUAAUAAGUNACUGAAGGUACCUGAGGAAUCAGCAUCGGCUAACUCCGUGCCAGCAGCCGCGGNUAAUACGGAGGAUGCAAGCGUUAUCCGGAAUGAUUGGGCGUAAAGCGUCCGCAGGUGGUUUAUCAAGUCUGCUGUCAAAGAGUUUGGCUCAACCAAAUAAAGGCAGUGGAAACUGACAGACUGGAGUGCGGUAAGGGCAGAGGGAAUUCCUGGUGUAGCGGUGAAAUGCGUAGAGAUCAGGAAGAACACCGGUGGCGAAAGCGCUCUGCUGGGCCGUAACUGACACUGAGGGACGAAAGCUAGGGGAGCGAAUGGGAUUAGAUACCCCAGUAGUC
rnacentral:rRNA from 1 species